UGGGGAAUUUUGGACAAUGGGCGAAAGCCUGAUCCAGCAAUGCCGCGUGUGUGAAGAAGGCCUUCGGGUUGUAAAGCACUUUUGUCCGGAAAGAAAUCCUUGGCUCUAAUACAGUCGGGGGAUGACGGUACCGGAAGAAUAAGCACCGGCUAACUACGUGCCAGCAGCCGCGGUAAUACGUAGGGUGCAAGCGUUAAUCGGAAUUACUGGGCGUAAAGCGUGCGCAGGCGGUUUGCUAAGACCGAUGUGAAAUCCCCGGGCUCAACCUGGGAACUGCAUUGGUGACUGGCAGGCUAGAGUAUGGCAGAGGGGGGUAGAAUUCCACGUGUAGCAGUGAAAUGCGUAGAGAUGUGGAGGAAUACCGAUGGCGAAGGCAGCCCCCUGGGCCAAUACUGACGCUCAUGCACGAAAGCGUGGGGAGCAAACAGGAUUAGAUACCCUGGUAGUCCCACGCCCUAAACGAUGUCAACUAGUUGUUGGGGAUUCAUUUCCUUAGUAACGUAGCUAACGCGUGAAGUUGACCGCCUGGGGAGUACGGUCGCAAAGAUUAAAACUCAAAGGAAUUGACGGGGUCAUAGCUGUUUCCU
rnacentral:rRNA from 1 species